UGUAAACUAUUCCCAUAAUAAAGCUUUAUUAUAUGCCUUGAAAACAUUAACAUUGAUACUAAAGAUUGAAACACCAUAACACAUGUAAAUGAAGUAAUUAAAAACAAAAUGUAAAUAAAAAACACACUUCAGUGAUUAGACACUUUGUAUAAAUUCAUGAUACUUUUCCUCCCCCAUUUCCGACAAUACGGUUUCAGGAAACAGUCGUGACUAGCUAGUUGAUUUGUUCAACGAUCUCGUACUAUGGUAGUUCAGCAGCGAGUUACAUCGUUGUUCGGGAAACGCACCCCUGAUGGAUUCUUCUUUGAGAAACUGGUUCAGACCGCUGAAUUCAACAGGUGGGCCAGACAACUCAUCCGCGUGCGUUCUCACCGCCGCCAUCUUUGGACAGAUCUCAGAUGAUUCUGGCUUAUACACACUGCUGCCUGAUCCUGAUACUCAAAUACAACUAACUGUCAGAAGAGGUGAACCAUAGAGACCCACAACAUCAUUACCAAGAGGUACCAGAGUAAACCAGGAAGAGAAUGUUUAUUUAUCCACACAAAAAACUACUCAUACAAUAUAAUUAACUUAGUUCAAAUUGAACGAACAGUCCUGCAAAUGUCACAACACAGAACUGGACCAAAAAAGAGAUCAGGGUGAUCCGUCUGUCUGUCUGUGCAUCAUAUUUAGAGCAGAGCACCGGUGGUGUGAGGACCCUAUUGUAAUUGCUCGGUCUAUUAUUCUUCUUCUCUGAAACUAAUCGCAAUUUCGAGGGCCUAAACAUGCUCGAAAACUCAACUUUGCACAUGCAUCAGAAGUGGUGAAAAUUUACAUAUGAUAUGGGUUUCAGAAUUAGGUGUGGCAAAAUGGCUUGAUAGCACCACCUACAAAGAUUUCAAUUAAGUGCCCUUCACGCUAAAUUUCACGAAUGAAAUUCGGUACACACAUGUAACAGCCAAUACCUACAAAAACGUCCCAGAGUGCAAAAUCUAUAAACCCAACAGGAGACUUACGAUAUUUAGAAUUUUCCCAGCAAAAUUUUGGUAGUUUUUGACAUUUCCAGACAUUGUACUUUAAUGAACUCAUCAGAAUAACAUCAUAUUUGGUCAGUCUAAUCUAAAGGCCUUUGCGACAUUAAAUUGCGAAGAUCUAGAGUUUUCUCUGAAGGGCGUGUCCGCGGCGGCCUGACAAAAUUCGAUGUUUCGCCAUGAAACAGGAAGCUGUUGUAACUCAGGCAUACAAUGUCCGAUCUGCCCCAAACUUCACGUGUGAUAAGGGUCCUGGCCUGAAGACAUCUACAUGCAAAUAUUCAGUUAGUCAUAGUACCACCUGCUGGAAACAGGAAAUGGCAAUUCACUCACAGAAACACAUUUAAAUAUGCCAUGAAGUACCAAACGUGGUAGAAACAUGUUAAAUCAUGCAACACUUGGCUAAACGCUAAAGUAUUAACGCCACGAAACAGGAAGUUGUUGUAACUCUGUACACACAACUUGUAACUUGUUGUCUUUGCAAUUGACCACUUGUCUACUUACAUGAUGUAUUUCCUGUAUUUGGCUCAAGCUUUCAAGUAGGUGUGAAGACUGCAAGUGUGUGUAGAAUUUUUGAUUACCCGAUGGGACACACUUAUAGUCUUGCAAAAAAUGCAAGCGUUUACAGCUUUUUUUUAAUUAUUAUUUUCAAUACUUUGCAUUUUAAAAUACACUUCUAAAUGUCUUCUAAACUGUCAUUCUAUUGUUCAUUCUAUCUUAUCCAUAUCUUUUAAUUACACACACACACACACACACACACACACACAAAGCUAGUUGUGUCUUUCUACAGGUGAGUAGGCUAGAGGAGACUUCCUCUUUUCUACACAAUCUUCACUCACGCUUAACAGCUAUUGUGUAUUUUUUUAUCUCCAGUAUCUGUGUCUUAUCACACCAGGAUCAAGGUCUUCAGGAUUAAUAGAAAGUUAUAGGCAGAUGAGUUUGAUCAAGGUUGGAGCUUUUUUUUUUUUUUUUGCAACUUCACUGUAUUCAUUAUACACUGAUCACACAGCUUAUUUAUACUUGAGAAACUUUAUAGUUAACAGUUAUACACGAGAUGCAAAAGAAAGAGUCUCUCAUGAGAUCUAAAUUAAUUUCAGGUUAGUCCAGCACCUUAUUUGUUGCUUUAUCAUAAAAUUAAAAUCAUACAAUUUUUAAUUAAAGGCACAAUUUAAAAUGAUUGAUUGUCACUGCAUUAGAUAAUAAAACAUCAAACCAUUUUUUCAGAUUAAACGACAUCGGGCAAACAUGAUGAGUUAAGUUAGUGAAGAGAAAAGAUCCUGCAGAGUCUGUUUGAUAUUUUAUCCAAUGCAAUAACAUUCACACAUUUUAAAGUGUCCAAAUACUCUCUGAGGCCACAUGAAAACAUGACAACACUAUAAAAUACAAUGUUAUGAUCUGAAGCUGUGGUUAUAUUGUUUUGAAAUGCACAGUAAGGACCUGGUGUAGUGAUGGAUGUGGAAAUGAAGGUAAGGAGGGGAAAUGAAGGGAAAUGAAGGGAAGUUAAGCAUUGCACCAUACUUUGUGUCAGUACGGAAGAUAGAGUUGUUUUCCAAUGUUCAAGGAUUUUAUGUAGUCAAAAAGUGCCGUAAAGCUUCACCAUGUGGAGCUUUAUUCUUCUUCUCUGGUCCUGGAUUCGUAUCGCUGUUGUUGUAGGAGCUUCAGAGACAAUUAUAGGAUACAGAGGAGAGAGAGUUGAGAUCAGAUGCUCAUAUGAAUCUGGAUAUGAAUCAAAUUCAAAGUAUUUUUGUAAAGGUGAGUGCAUCAUUGGAAUUAAAAACAUCAUGGUUAAAUCAGGAUCUCCAGCUAAAGACGAGAGAUUCUCUCUGACUGACAACACGACGAACAGAGUUUUCACCGUCACCAUCACUGAUCUGAGAACAGAGGAUGAAAGCAAAUACUGGUGUGCUGUGGAGAGGACUUUGUCUUUAACUGAUGUCUAUUCAGAGAUUUUGUUGAAGGUUAAACAGGGUCCAUUGACUCAAACCACUUCACCUGACACAAGUUCAUUUGGUAUCAUCAUCACAGGAGUUUUGGUUUUUCUCCUGAUAAGUGCUGUAUUGCUUAUUGUGGCCGUACGAAAGAAAAAGCAGACUU